AAGCGCGCAGUAGGCCUGUUUGUGCAGCAGGCUUGGGUUACAUGCCUUGCCUCGUGUAAAGAGUGUCGCCCCCUUGGCUACCAUACAUCGCCUUCAGGUGGCGUGCCGUCGUUGCUUGGGUGCCAUGUCGCUGUCGUUUAGGUGGUGUGCCUCCAGUUUUGUGUUGCCAUCACAUUGCAUCAUCCAUUCAUCACUUACAUCCGUCGGUUGUCACACUCAUCAUUUCACCUUUACUUUCUCUCUGUUUACUAGAUUUAUCCACUUGGCACAAAUCUAAUGGUUCCUAUUUUUUAUAAAU
rnacentral:lncRNA from 1 species